GUGGAGAUUCCAUAACAGGAUCUGCAAACAAAAAAAGACAGCAGCUCUUACUUGGAAUCAUCCAUAAUACAAAUAAAAUAAAGACAAACCUUUUAGAGUUUGGUUCAAAUUCUACAGAUAACAAACAAAGAGACACUAACUCUAACUCAAGAAACAGAAAUUACUAAGCGAAUCAAAUCAGAUCUCUGGCAAAUUAUAGAACUUUAAGAUGCUGCAAUCAAAUAUUGCCAUUAAAAACAAAGCUCAAGAACUCCUAAAAUUUUGGUAUUUUUACCUGAUCAGAAGCAAAAGCUAUAAA